UAAAAACUCUCUUUGCAGUUUGCGUUCACUCACGUUAGAUUUUUCUAUUACUACAAGGAAUAUCUUUGUCUCUUCUUGCUGUGGGCUCAAAAAAUGUGUGUGUAAAAUGGUCGCCAUUUGUGUGUGGCCAUCGUCUCCUGUUUCUACUGCUGAACCACUGUGUGUACACGAGUGUCAGCAUGUGUGUGAGGGUGAUCAUAUUUGUUUGUGUGACCACCCUUUUAUCUGUGUGUGAGUGUGUGUAUGUGUGUGUGUGUGUGUGUGUAAGGUUUUGCAUGGACACAGCCUUCCUUCCUCGACACGGAGAAGCCUACGACCGGUGUGCAGACAAUGAGACAUGAUGGAGCAGCUACAGAAGUACAGGACCGCAGUGCGGUUUCAGGAGAUGAUCGAGGGGCUGCAGAAGAACCGUGGACAGCAGGGUCCUCAUGUUUUGCAGCCCUGACAUUCAUGCUCGCAAUUGACCAGGAAGUGGUCUAUGACCACAUCACCUUCAUGAUGGUUGUUGAAAACGUAGUAGCUGCCAAACAUCAAGCAGGCAGCCAUUACCCAGCUGAGCCCUUGAGUCUCUACAGAGGUUUUGCAUGGCCACAGCCUUCCUCCUCGACACGGAGAAGCCUACGACCGGUGUGCAGACGAUGAGACAUGAUGGAGCAGCUACAGAAGUACAGGAGCGCAGCACAGUCUCAGGAGAUGAUCGAGGGGCUGCAGAAGAACCGUGGACAGCAGCUCUGUGCUUGCACUGGUGCUUCUGAUUCACGCAGUGGAACCAGCAGAUGUUAAAGCAGCAUACCUUCAUCGUUCACACACCUUCAAGCCAGGUUGGAUCACCAGAACAGCCCCCUUUUUGACUUUGCAUGCCACAGAAAGGCAAGACCUUUGGCUCCUUUCUAUGGUGUUUGGACUUUGGGGCAUUUUCUACACCGAAAGACUGUUGAACUCUUUGGGACUUACCAGAUUUUCACUUGUUUAAGUCAUUUAAGACAAUUUGGUGCAAGACGCUCAAAACGGCAAACUUAUGUUAAGAGAUGGGGGCACAGAGAGUUGUAAAUUAUAGGAAUAAAGUAACUAUUUAUGGGAAACUGGUCAUUUCUGUGAUUUCUUGUGAUUAACUAUUUAUUAGGGUUAAGGUUUAAGCUGAGCUGAGUGUCAGACUUUUACCAUCAAAUUUACAGAGAAAUUCUGGCAGCAGCCAGAUUUUCACCGUUAAAAUAACGGAUGUCCUUUCACCGUAAAAUAUACGGAGAAAUUCUGGCAACUCAGCUGCC